rnacentral:tRNA from 1 species
UGGGGCUGGGGCUCAGUGGUAGAGCACUCGCCUGGCACAUGGGAGGCACUGGGUUGGAUCCUCAGCACCACAA